AUUGAACGCUGGCGGCAUGCCUUACACAUGCAAGUCGAACGGUAACAGGUCUUCGGAUGCUGUCGAGUGGCGAACGGGUGAGUAAUGCAUCGGAACGUGCCCAGUUGUGGGGGAUAACUGCUCGAAAGAGCAGCUAAUACCGCAUACGACCUGAGGGUGAAAGCGGGGGAUCGCAAGACCUCGCGCAAUUGGAGCGGCCGAUGUCAGAUUAGGUAGUUGGUGGGGGAAAGGCCUACCAAGCCGACGAUCUGUAGUUGGUCUGAGAGGACGACCAGCCACACUGGGACUGAGACACGGCCCAGACUCCUACGGGAGGCAGCAGUGGGGAAUUUUGGACAAUGGGCGCAAGCCUGAUCCAGCAAUGCCGCGUGCAGGAAGAAGGCCUUCGGGUUGUAAACUGCUUUUGUCAGGGAAGAAAUCCUCUGGGUUAAUACCCCGGGGGGAUGACGGUACCUGAAGAAUAAGCACCGGCUAACUACGUGCCAGCCGCCGCGGUAAGAC
rnacentral:rRNA from 1 species